UACUCACAGGACUGCCAUCAGGACCCGCAGGGCCUCUGUCUCCAAAGUCACCUGGAAAACCCUAACCCAAGGAAAGAGAAAGAAAUGCUGUUAAAACCCAAAUAAGGAAUUCAUCUUUGCUUUGUUUUCAGGAAGAGCUCUGAGUUCCUUUAAUAAAAUGAACCUGUUUGCAGCUAUACUAUCUCCAUUGUUAAAAAAAAAGGAUCUGAAAGAUUGAUUGUAAAAUAUGGAACAAUAGUGACAUAACACUUUGCCUUUGAACUUAGAAUACAAAGGAGUUUCUAGAGUUUCUUUUUCUCCUUGAAAAAAUACAUUGCAAAAUGAAAUAAUAAAUUUUCUCUCAUAUUUA